GAUGAACGCUGGCGGCGUGCUUAACACAUGCAAGUCGAACGGAAAGGCCGAAGCUUGCUUCGGUACUCGAGUGGCGAACGGGUGAGUAACACGUGGGUGAUCUGCCCUGUACUUCGGGAUAAGCUUGGGAAACUGGGUCUAAUACCGGAUAUGACGAUCUCUUGGAUGGGGUUGUGGAAAGCUUUUGCGGUAUGGGAUGAGCUCGCGGCCUAUCAGCUUGUUGGUGGGGUAAUGGCCUACCAAGGCGUCGACGGGUAGCCGGCCUGAGAGGGUGUACGGCCCCUUUGGGCUUGGGAUCCGGCCAAGCUUCCUCCGGGGGGAACCGUUGGGAAUUAUUGCCCAAUGGCGCAAGCCUGAUGCAGCGACGCCGCGUGGGGGAUGACGGCCUUCGGGUUGUAAACUCCUUUCGCAAUCGACGAAGCCUUUUGGUGACGGUAGGUUGAGAAGAAGCACCGGCUAACUACGUG
rnacentral:rRNA from 1 species